UUUAUAUUUUAUUCUUGGUUUUUUUUCUAGCAAAUUUUAAUUAAUUAAAUUUUUCAUAAUGUUAAAAUAAGUAUUAUUAAUAAUUUAAAUAUAGGAACUCGGCAAAUUAUUACUCAACUGUUUAUCAAAAACAUAGUUUUAUGGAAUAUAUAAAAUGAAUUCUGCCCAAUGAUUAGUUUAAUGGCCGCAGUACUUUAACUGUGCUAAGGUAGCAUAAUAAUUUGGCUUUUAAUUAAGGUCUGGUAUGAAAGGAUUUAUGGGUAAUAACUGUCUUUAUUUAACUUUUAAAAAUUUACUUAAAAGGUGAAAAUUCCUUUAAUUUUAAAAUAGACGAGAAGACCCUAGGAGUUUUUGUUUUGUUGGGGCGACAUUUUAGUAGAUAACCUAAAAAAAAAUUUAACGGCUAUAUCAAUUAUAAAUAAACUACCCUAGGGAUAACAGCAUAAUAAUGUUUUUGUUUGUGACCUCGAUGUUGGACUAGG
rnacentral:rRNA from 1 species